rnacentral:rRNA from 1 species
CCUACGGGAGACAGCAGUGAGGAAUAUUGGUCAAUGGGCGGAAGCCUGAACCAGCCAAGUCGCGUGAGGGAAUAAGGCCCUACGGGUCGUAAACCUCUUUUGCCGGGGAGCAAGGGCGGGGACGUGUCCCGGCCCGGAGAGGACCCGGAGAAAAAGCAGCGGCCAACUCCGUGCCGGCAGCCGCGGUAAUACGGAGGAUGGGCGCGUUAGCGGGAUUGAUGGGGUUAAAGGGGUGGGUAGGGGGGCUUUUAAGUCAGCGGUAAAAAUUCGGGGCUCAACCCCGUCCGGCCGUUGAAACUGGGGGCCUUGAGUGGGCGAGAGGCAGGCGGCAUGCGUGGUGUAGCGGUGAAAUGCAUAGAUCUCACGCAGAACCCCGAUUGCGAAGGCAGCCUUCCGGUGCCCUACUGCCGCUGAGGCACGAAAGUGCGGGUAUCGAACAGGAUUAGAUACCCCGGUAGUC